GUAGGCGGGGAACAAAUGGACUAUAAAGAGCGAACGAUAAAUCAUGUUUGUGUCUAAAGACAACAAGGAAAAGAAUGACAGCAUUGUGGCCCACUAGAGGUUGAAUGUCACCCGCAUCAAGGCUGAAUGUCAAGGCUGACUAUUCCAUAACACUACUCAUGGUCCCUGCCCGUUCCUUCUUCCCUUCUUUAUUCUGGUAGAUAGUUUUAGUGAUGUGAUCAUGAAAAUAUUGUUUGGUUGAACAUAUUUGCCUAUAAAAUAUAUGCAAAUAGCCUCACAAAGCUUGAAAAUCAGUAAGGGAAA
rnacentral:lncRNA from 1 species